UACAGAGGCGGCGAGCGUUGUUCGGAUUUACUGGGCGUAAAGGGUGCGUAGGCGGUUCUGUGUGUCGGAUGUGAAAUCUCACAGCUCAACUGUGGAAUUGCAUUCGAAACUACAGGGCUGGAGUACAGGAGAGGAGAGCGGAAUUCUCGGUGUAGCGGUGAAAUGCGUAGAUAUCGAGAGGAACACCGGUGGCGAAGGCGGCUCUCUGGACUGAUACUGACGCUGAGGCACGAAAGCUGGGGGAGCAAACAGG
rnacentral:rRNA from 1 species